rnacentral:misc_RNA from 1 species
GCUGAAGAACGCAGCAAAAUGCGAUAAGUAAUGUGAAUUGCAGAAUUCAGUGAAUCAUCGAAUCUUUGAACGCACAUUGCGCCCGCCAGUAUUCUGGCGGGCAUGCCUGUUCGAGCGUCAUUUCAACCCUCAAGCACAGCUUGGUGUUGGGACUCGCGUUAAUUCGCGUUCCUCAAAUUGAUUGGCGGUCACGUCGAGCUUCCAUAGCGUAGUAGUAAAACCCUCGUUACUGGUAAUCGUCGCGGCCACGCCGUUAAACCCCAACUUCUGAAUGUUGACCUCGGAUCAGGUAGGAAUACCCGCUGAACUUAAGCAUAUCAAUAAGCGGAGGA